ensembl:lncRNA
CCUCAAAACCCUCCCACUCGUUUUGAGCACACUCAUCACAUCGUUCUUUCUGGGUUCUGAAGCAGCUCUGGAGUCCUCCAUCCUUCCUGUCUUUACAAAACAUGAUUGAAAAGACAGUGAGUGCUGCUGCUGAGUGCCAUCCGACAGGAAGGCAGGGCUGUGAAAACAAUACUCUGUGUCCUCCUCCACUGUAGGCACAGGAUCUGGCACGCUGUGUCUUCUGGCUCUUUCUCAAGGUCAAAACUACAAGGAAGGGAAACAUUUUGAAUCAGUUGAGGACAUCGAGGCAGCAGGACCCCACAACCAAGACUCUCAGGCAAGAGGACUCCAGAGCUGCUGCAGAAAGUGACAGGAUCAAUGGGAGAUUACGGGACGUUCUACUGAAGGAGCUUCCUCCUUGGUCCCUGGAACAGAGACAGCUUCUCGGCGGCAGAAGGCGGCUGUUCUGCUCUGGACCAGCAGUGCCUGACCUGACCUCCACCCCUCAGCCGCCCAAGGCCAUCCUCGGAGCCUCGGGACAUCUGGGCACACAGGGGAAGUGCGUCACACAGGAAUCGGGAGUCCCUGACCAGAGAACUGGCCACUGAGCUCCAGAGGACGCAGUUAGAGACAGAGUGAGAAAGUCAGGGCUGAAUGGGAAGAAAGGGUAAAUAGCAAAGUUGGGCUAAGCUUCAGCUGGAGAAAAGCUCAGCUCCUGCACAGGGCGCAGCCACUUGUGUCCUGCAUCUAAGCUACAGUGUGCUCCACACAAGGACCAGGCACCUCGCCACCAGGGCUCCCGCACAGUGACGUGUCCCAGAGGCCGCUGACAUCCUGCUCCGAGCUCAUCACAAGCAUUCUGUACCUCAAAGACUGUGAUUGUCAGUUGCCACGUAAACACAGUUUGAAUUUUUAAAAGAAAAUUUGGAAUCUGGUGAAACACAACAGUGUCUGUUUUGGUGCUGGUGACGGCCUCAGCAGUGGCCCCUCCAUGGUGACAUACAGUGUCUCGCAUGUCAUGUCAGCUGUCAGAAUGCGACUUCCCUGGUCACGCAGCCCCUCAGAGGCAUUAGGAAGUGGAGGGUCUCGGCUUCUUGGUGGCUGUUCUGUUGGUUGAGUUUGUUCAAUACUAUGUAUUCGAGUCUUAGAAAACACCACAGGGCGGGAUUUAGAAAGAACGGCUCCCACACCUGGCCCCAGAGCGAUGCAGAAUUGAGCAGCUCCAUGGCUGAAGUUCAGCACCUCUGCCCUGAGCUCAAAUCGAGCCUCAAGUAGGAGAGUCUCCUCGCCAAGUCAGGAGUUCAGAGCCCCGGCAGGGCCACAAGUUCUCGGGACUUGUCCACGGCGCGUCCUCUGACACGAGGCACCAACCACUGAUUCCUCCGUGCCUUUCCUUCUGGCUCUUUACCUUGUGCCACCCAGUUACGUUUCUUUACAACCCAAAGCUGAACUGGAAAACUACAUUUUUAUCUGUUGCUGUCGUUUUGUCUGUUACUGACGUAACAAGUGAGUUUCUGUUUUUCAAGUAGAAAAAUGGGCUGGUAUUUGCACUGCAGUUCCUUUAAAUGCUUUUAUUUUGCAAGUUCUACUUCCAUGCUUUCUGUCCUCUGCUGUCCUCUUACUCCAUAAAAUUUUUAUU